rnacentral:rRNA from 1 species
CGGGAGCGACUUAGCGGCGGACGGGUGAGUAACGCGUGGGUAACCUGCCCCAUACCGGGGGAUAACGGUUAGAAAUGACCGCUAAUACCGCUUAAGCGCACGAGGCCGCAUGGCCACGCGCGAAAAACUCCGGUGGUAUGGGAUGGGCCCGCGUCUGAUUAGCUAGUUGGCGGGGUAACGGCCCACCAAGGCGACGAUCAGUAGCCGACCUGAGAGGGUGGCCGGCCACAUUGGGACUGAGACACGGCCCAA